UACGUAGGGACCAAGCGUUGUUCGGAUUUACUGGGCGUAAAGGGCGCGUAGGCGGCGCGGUAAGUCACUUGUGAAAUCUCUGAGCUUAACUCAGAACGGCCAAGUGAUACUGCAGUGCUAGAGUGUGGAAGGGGCAAUCGGAAUUCUUGGUGUAGCGGUGAAAUGCGUAGAUAUCAAGAGGAACACCUGAGGUGAAGACGGGUUGCUGAGCCAACACUGACGCUGAGGCGCGAAAGCCAGGGGAGCAAACGGG
rnacentral:rRNA from 1 species